UACGAAGGGGGCUAGCGUUGUUCGGAAUCACUGGGCGUAAAGCGCACGUAGGCGGAUCUUUAAGUCAGGGGUGAAAUCCCGAGGCUCAACCUCGGAACUGCCUUUGAUACUGGGGAUCUCGAGUCCGGGAGAGGUGAGUGGAACUGCGAGUGUAGAGGUGAAAUUCGUAGAUAUUCGCAAGAACACCAGUGGCGAAGGCGGCUCACUGGCCCGGAACUGACGCUGAGGUGCGAAAGCGUGGGGAGCGAACAGG
rnacentral:rRNA from 1 species